rnacentral:rRNA from 1 species
GGGUCAGUAGGUUGGUCGUGCCACCGGUACGUACUGGUCUCACUGAUUCCUCCUUCCUGAAGAACCGUAAUGCCAUUAAUUUGGUGUUGCGGGGAAACAGGACUGUUACUUUGAAAAAAAUUAGAGUGUUUAAAGCAAGCUAACGCUUGAACACAUUAGCAUGGAAUAAUGAAAUAGGACGAUCGAUCCUAUUUUGUUGGUUUCUAGGAUUGACGUA